rnacentral:rRNA from 1 species
AACGAACGCUUGGCGGCAGGCCUACACGUUUAAAGUCGAACGCUCUCUUCGCAGGGAGUCGUAGCACGGGUGAGUAACGCGUGGGAACCUAGCUCUUGGUACGGAACAACCGCGGGAAACUGCGGCUAAUACCGUAUACACCCUCCGGGGGAAAGAUUUAUCGCCGAGAGAUGGGCCCGCGUCUGAUUAGCUUGUUGGUGAGUGUAACGGCUCACCAAGGCAUCGAUCAGUAGCUGGUCUGAGAGGAUGAUCAGCCACACUGGGACUGAGACACGGCCCAGACUCCUACGGGAGGCAGCAGUGGGGAAUAUUGGACAAUGGGCGCAAGCCUGAUCCAGCCAUGCCGCGUGAGUGAAGAAGGCCCUAGGUUGUAAAGCUCUUUCAACGGUGACGAUGAUGACGGUAGCCGUUAGAAGAAGCCCCGGCUAACUCCGUGCCAGCAGCGCGGUAAUACGGAGGGGGCAAGCGUUGUUCGGAAUUACUGGAGCGUAAAAGGGCGCGUAAAGACGAGUCUGUUGCGUCACGCGUUGUGAAAAGCCCCUGUGCUCAACCCGGGAGGUGCACACUUUGAUACCGGGGCAGACUUG